rnacentral:rRNA from 1 species
UACGAAGGGGGCUAGCGUUGUUCGGAAUUACUGGGCGUAAAGCGCGCGCAGGCGGUCUUCCAAGUCAGUGGUGAAAGCCUGGAGCUCAACUCCAGAACUGCCAUUGAAACUGUUAGACUUGAGUACGAGAGAGGUGAGUGGAAUUCCCAGUGUAGAGGUGAAAUUCGUAGAUAUUGGGAAGAACACCGGUGGCGAAGGCGGCUCACUGGCUCGUAACUGACGCUCAGGCGCGACAGCGUGGGGAUCAAACAAGGAU